CCUACGGGAGGCAGCAGUGAGGAAUAUUGGUCAAUGGACGCAAGUCUGAACCAGCCAUGCCGCGUGCAGGAAGACGGCCCUAUGAGUUGUAAACUUCUUUUGUACGAGGGUAAACGCAGAUACGCGUCUCUGUCUGAAAGUAUCGUACGAAUAAGGUUCGCGUAACUCCGUGCCAGCAGCCGCGGUAAUCCGGAGGAUUCAAGCGUUAUCCGGAUUUAUGGGGUUUAAAGGGUGCGUAGGCGGUAGGAUAAGUUAGGGGUGAAAACCCGGGGCUCAACUUCGGAAUUGCCUCUGAUACUGGUCGGCUAGAGAGUAGUUGCGGUAGGCGGAAUGUAUGGUGUAGCGGUGAAAUGCUUAGAGAUCAUACAGAACACCGAUUGCGAAGGCAGCUUACCAAGCUACUUCUGACGUUGAGGCACGAAAGCGUGGGGAGCAAACAGGAUUAGAUACCCUUGUAGUC
rnacentral:rRNA from 1 species